GCGAGUGUCGUAUAAUGGUUAUUACACCACCUUGCCAAGGUAGAAAUGGCGGUUCGAUUCCGCUCACUCGCUCAA
rnacentral:tRNA from 1 species